rnacentral:rRNA from 1 species
AUUGAACGCUGGCGGCGUGCUUAACACAUGCAAGUCGAACGUGAAAGUCCUUCGGGGCGAGUAAAGUGGCGCACGGGUGAGUAACGCGUGGAUAAUCUACCCUUAAGAUGGGGAUAACGGCUGGAAACGGUCGCUAAUACCGAAUACGCUCCCGAUUUUAUCGUUGGGGGGAAAGAUGGCCUCUGCUUGCAAGCUAUCGCUUAAGGAUGAGUCCGCGUCCCAUUAGCUAGUUGGCGGGGUAACGGCCCACCAAGGCGACGAUGGGUAGCCGGUCUGAGAGGAUGAUCGGCCACACUGGAACUGGAACACGGUCCAGACUCCUACGGGAGGCAGCAGUGGGGAAUAUUGCGCAAUGGGCGAAAGCCUGACGCAGCGACGCCGCGUGAGGGAUGAAGGUUCUCGGAUCGUAAACCUCUGUCAGGGGGGAAGAAACCCCCUCGUGUGAAU